rnacentral:rRNA from 1 species
AACAAACGUUUUUUUUUUCUGGCGGCGUGCCUAACACAUGCAAGUCGUACGAGAAAGUCGGCUUCGGCCGAUGAGUACAGUGGCGCACGGGUGAGUAGCGCGUGGGUAAUCUGCCCCCCGGUCAGGAAUAACCCGCCGAAAGGCGGGCUAAUACCCGAUAACACUGACGCUCCGCGGAGCGUCUUUCAAAGAAGGCCUCUGUUUACAAGCUUUCGCCGGAGGAUGAGCCCGCGUACCAUUAGCUAGUUGGCAGGGUAAUGGCCUACCAAGGCUACGAUGGUUAGCUGGUCUGAGAGGAUGGCCAGCCACACUGGAACUGAGACACGGUCCAGACUCCUACGGGAGGCAGCAGUGAGGAAUCUUGCGCAAUGGGGGAAACCCUGACGCAGCAACGCCGCGUGAGUGAGGAAGGCCUUGGGUCGUAAAGGCUCUCGUCAGAUAGGGAAGAAAUGGAGUGGGGGCGUAAUAAUCGCCCGACUCCUUCGUACGGUACCAUCAGAGGAAGACGACCGGCGUAACCUCCG